rnacentral:rRNA from 1 species
GACGAACGCUGGCGGCGUGCUUAACACAUGCAAGUCGAGCGGUAAGGCCUCUUCGGGGGUACACGAGCGGCGAACGGGUGCGUAACACGUGGGUGACCUGCCCUCAGCUCUGGGAUAAGCCUGGGAAACUGGGUCUAAUACCGGAUAUGACCUUUCCUCGCAUGGGGUUUGGUGGAAAGUUUUUUCGGCUGGGGACGGGCCCGCGGCCUAUCAGCUUGUUGGUGGGGUGAUGGCCUACCAAGGCGACGACGGGUAGCCGGCCUGAGAGGGCGACCGGCCACACUGGGACUGAGACACGGCCCAGACUCCUACGGGAGGCAGCAGUGGGGAAUAUUGCGCAAUGGGCGGAAGCCUGACGCAGCGACGCCGCGUGGGGGAUGACGGCCUUCGGGUUGUAAACCUCUUUCGACCCCGACGAAUUUGGACGGUAGGGGUAGAAGAAGCACCGGCCAACUACGUG